GUAGUGGUUUGAAACGAACGUGUUUUUUUCUCGUGCCGAAAACCAUGUGUGACGAAAAACAUGAGCAACGGAUAAACGUAAAAUUUUCUCGUUAAACUAAAAAAAAACUCCAACUGAGUGCUCUAAGUUGUUAAAAGAGGCCUAUAGUGAGGAUUUCCUAUCUCGGGCGCGUGUUUUUGAGUGGCAUAAAUUAUUUUCUGAAGGUCGAGAGUGCACCGGAAUCCAAUUCAAUCGUAAUCCAAAUUCAAAACCGUUUUCUUCGAUAUCAACGGUAUCGUGAUGACUGAAUGGGUUCCAGAGGAUUAAACUGUGAACCAACAUUACUAUUUGACAGUUUUGGCAACAUUGCGCGAAUGAGUUCGUAAGAAAAGGUCGAUAUUGUGGAAAAACAAGUCGUGGAUCUUGCACCAGGAUAAAGCGUGAAGCGUUAUUUGGCCGCUUAAGGCACUCCAGUACUCGAACACGCGUCUUAUUCACCCAAUUUGGCACCCUGCGACUUUUACUUGUUUCCGAAGAUAAAAUCUGUCUUAAAAGGAAUCCGGUUUGAGUCGAUGGAAGAGGUGAAAGAAAAAUCGGCGGAACUCCUGAAUGGUCUUACGAAAACAGACUUCCAGCACUGCCUGGAGCAAUGGAAGAAACGAAUGAAACAGUAUGUGGCGAGGGGAGGGGAGUAUAUUGAAGGGGAGCAUUUGAAUGUAGAAUAACUUUUAUAAUAAAACACUUUUUCGUAAC